AGUGGCGGGCGGGUGAGUAACGCGUGGGUAACCUGCCUCAUACAGGGGGAUAACAGUUAGAAAUGACUGCUAAUACCGCAUAAGACCACAGCACCGCAUGGUGUAGGGGUAAAAACUCCGGUGGUAUGAGAUGGACCCGCGUCUGAUUAGGUAGUUGGUGGGGUAACGGCCUACCAAGCCGACGAUCAGUAGCCGACCUGAGAGGGUGACCGGCCACAUUGGGACUGAGACACGGCCCAA
rnacentral:rRNA from 1 species